CAGUGUUAGAAAAAUGAGACAAGAUGCAUAACCGAGCAUUAUCAGCCGAUUGAAAACAUUUAUUAAUUGUCAAUCAUGAUUGUAUAAUUUGCAUCACUUAUAUUAAUUACAUUUUUUUUAGUUUAACUCCACCCAUUUGUCUCGCAGAAAUUUCUUUUUCUAUUGUCAUAUGUUGUCGAACUGGCGGACACAGUCUCGCCGCCAGGACAAAAAGGGAGAAUAAUAAACGUCGAUACGAAUAAUUAACGAAAUAAUGAUCGCGUCAUUAUGUAUACGAAUGCGACGUGAUUAAAAGCCGGCGGGGCGAGGGAUGCGGAAGAGACGGAGGACGGUAAUCGGCGGACACACGCACACACAUACACUCGACGCGCGUAUUAAUUGCUAAUUAUUAAGUAUUGAUUUUUUUAAAUGGGGACGUGGAGCGUAGCGCCGCGUCUCCGCUCCCCCCGCAGGGGGAGGCUGCUCGUUCGCGACAAGUAUCCGCGGACUAUUUUCCGCGCGGCGCACAAAAACGCGAGGCGUGCGCGCGCGUAGUAACACCCGGCGCCGCGAGAAAUGGCGGGAAAAGCGUGGGAUCGCGAGGCGGUUAUUUCGAGUGUCGGUGCACUCGUGAGCGGCAAAACGUACGUCGUGCAUGAACGGAAGUCGCGACAUCAACGAGAGAACAAUCGGCAGCGCGGACGAGCGGUUUUGUGGCGCGAUACGCGAAUGCGAAAUAACGAUAAAGACGAAAAAAAUUGGCGGCUUGUCGCGGCGCCGGCCAAGAUGGCGAACCAAUUAAGAGUGCCGCGCGCGGAUGCGCGUUUUAUUCUACCGCAUGGUCGCGCGUCGCCGUCGUCAUCGUCGUCGUUGCAUUGAUGUAAUAUGCGAUUUUCGUGGAGCGCCCGCUACGACAGCGGCGGCGGAGAUCGUCCGUUGCGUUCGCGCGCCGACUAUCGUGGAAUAAAUACAUACACACGCGCACGCGGUGGCCGCGGGGCGCGCCGCGCGCCGCGCCGCGUCGCAAAGCGCCGGCGGAAUCCAUAAAUAAAACAAUUGGUUAUAUACAUAUGUUUUUCAAAUCGACGAAUGCUAUUAUAUAUUUUGUAUUGAGCACUCGGCACUCGGGGGGAGACGGACGGACGGACUGCACGCCGACGCCCGACGACUACGUCCGCGGAGAGCCGUGCGUCUGUUUUUAUAAAGAGCACACGGCGGGCACCGACGUCGUCGCGUCGCGUCGCGCCGUGCCGCGCGGCUUAUAAUCUCGCCCAAUCCGCGACUCCACUCAUAAAGUAUACGGCGGAACAAAAAAAGAGGGAAAAUCGUUAUAGAAUAAUCAAGCCGUCGCUCGUUCGUACGCGCUCGUUUCACUCGCACGUUUUUCGGGCCGCCGCCGGGCAGGCACACGCGCUUCUUCUCGGUCCGCGCACCGCUCCGUCGCAUCCUCGCGGCCGAGGAUGCUGCUACGUCGUCGUCCGGGUAUAUGAAAGCGAUCGCGUCGCGGGGCGUUUCGGUGCGUCCUGGCCGUCGUCUGGCGUAGAAUGAGAAAAAAAGAAAAGGUCGCCAACGUCGCGUGAAGUCCGCGUGCGUGCUUAUCGUUAUUAUUCGCAUCUCUCUCUUUCUCUUUCUCUCCGCGGAAGAUCACGGAAAAGAAAAAGUCUUCCAGCCGUGGAACAGGAGGAAAAACUCAUUAUUCCUGGCACGCUACUCCUUUUUUUAUCGCUCCUCUCCUCGCCUCGUUCUUCCCGCCCGAUUCUCAUCCGAUUUCAACCCGUCUGUUCUCUCGCAUUUUUGAAAUGGGCACAGCGGCACGCGAUCUCCAGCAGCAGCAGCGCGAUCGGCAAGCGGACCGGUCUUUGUCGCAGUGCCGGAUUUGUGCGGCCGACAUCGUCGACGACGACGGGAUGAACAUUUUCGCCGAGGACGGCCGGCGUCACUACCUGCAGACCAAGAUACGCAAAUAUCUGUACAUCCUGGUCUUAUCUGAGGAUAAAUAUUCAAAAAUGGUGUGUUCCAUAUGUAUUAAGAGACUGGAAGGUGUUCAUCGUUUUGCAAUGAUGGCAUACCGCGCCCAAGAAAAAUUGAGAUUACAGCCAUAUGUUAACAUUGACAAUACGAAUUCUGUACAAGAUGACGAAAUGCAAAGUAUUAAAGAUACGCAAGAAAUUGCAAAGAAAACGGAAGACCGAGGGCUAUUACAUUCAAUAUUGACAAAGGGUGCAAUAGAAAUUUUGACUGACGACGAACCACUGGGACCAGCGGAGUCAAAUUCCCAAGAGGACAAACGUCAUACCCCAAGCAUGGAGGAAAUGGAGGUGAAAGUGGAUCCAAUGCUAUUUUUACAAUGCGGUAUGGAACAAUCUGCGUCGGAAGCUUCGGAUUUUUCAGACAACGAGGAAGACGUAAUAAAAACACAUUCACCGGAGCCGCUACCUUUAAUAAACAAAAGUAUUGAAGCAGAAGACGAGGAAGAAGAAGAAGAAGAAGAAGAGAAGAACGACGAAAGCGAGACAAAAGCGUCUGAGGAUAGUAAGAAAAGCGUGUCCGAUUCAAUAGUGAAACCACACAAAUGUACAAUAUGUACCCGAGCUUUUAUAUCGCAAAUCGGUUUGCAAAAUCACUUGUGGUCGCAUUUACCCAGAGAGAGAAAAUUCGGAAAGCCUAUUUUACGAUCUCAACACGUUUAUUCCACGAACGGUGUACUUCACACGAGCAGUGAUAAUUCGUCCAAUUUCGUCUGUCCAAUCUGCACUAAAAAGAUUUCUACGAAGGGAAAUUUGAAAGUGCAUUUAGAGACCCACAGGCCUAAAGGAAAGUACGGCUGCGACAUAUGUGGAAGAAUUUUCAAAACACAAUCGAAUCUAUUCAGACACAAGGAAUAUCACGGCGGCAUACAGUUUCCGUGUAACGUCUGCGGGAGAGUGUAUCCAACGAAUUCGACGUUGCGCGCCCACAGUAUCACGCAUUCAGACUUGAGACCGCACGCAUGCCCGCUUUGUGACAAAACGUUCAAGCGAAAUCAAGAUCUGAAAUUCCACAUAAAUCAGCACACGGGUGCGAGGCCUUAUCAGUGUCCUUACUGUCCGAAAGCUUUCGCAAGCUCCGGUAAUUGUUUUUCGCAUCGUAAAAGAAUGCAUCCCCGGGAGGUCUAUCGGGACCGGCAAAGAGCGGCGGAUUUAAUGAGAUGAACCAUGGGCAGUCAGUACGAAGAUUGGUCUUAAGAGAAUCUCGGAUAAAUGUUCUGUCAAGCGAUCAAGAGGAUACUCCACAGGGAGCUUUAUACGGAACAUAUAUAUCGACCAAAAAAGAGAAAGAGAGAAAGGGACAAAAAAAAAAGAAAAUUUGUGGAAAGAAAAAAAAGUUUUGUAGUCUGUGACAUAUUUUUAGCACAACACGAACAUCAUCAUAAAUGUUAAGACUGUAUACGAAAAUUAUGUGUCAAAUUAGGUAGUAAUUUUAAGGAUGAACAAGACAUACGCGUCACAUGAAACAAGACUAGUCGUCGCAGUAUUAAUUAUUAAUAAGGUGUAGGCGCCGUAAUCGAUAUUACGAGUACGGUUAUAACGUUAUUCUUAUAAGCGAGAUAUAUGAGGUAAAUGUUAAACAGAAGUCUGAGUAGCUUUAGGGAGGUAUAGUUAAGUUACCGUUAGUGAAUUAGUUAAUUCGUGUAACGUAGAUAAUAGUCCGUGCUUCCGUAUAACGUAUACAUUCGCACACGUGCUGAAACAUCGCAGAAGCCAUAAAUGGGAAGCGUGUAGGCCAAAAAAAAAAGGGAAAAAGAAAGAAGUACACACAUGUAACAGUCAGUACACAAACAAUAAGUAGCAUAUUACGUAUCGCAGAGACAAAAAAAAUCCACAUGUAAUCACUUUAUUAAUGCAGCAUUAUUCAUGCUCAUAGAGAUACAAACGUGUAUUUUGCGAUUACGUUUUUUCCGGACGCUUGCCGACGUAUAUUAUAUAUACAUACACUUAUAGAAAUAGGCAACAAUAAGUAGUGGUUAUAUAUAUUAUAUAUAUAUACACAAAAAUAAUCAAUUUUUGACAGAGAAAGAGAGAGCAUCUGAGGCGAUUGUAAUGCUCGCAGCUCAACCUUGCAUCAUUCUUGCAUCUUAGAUCUUAGAGAAUCAAAAAUUGAGUAUUUUUCUAAAGCCGACACACCAAAGACAGCUCUAGCAAUUGAGAUUAGUGAUUACAAAUAUUUCAGAAGUGCCAGUUGUAACGCAGAAAAUUCGUAGCGUAUUCAGCAGCAGACAAAUACCGGAGAAGAGGAUCAUUUUGUAGAGUUAGUUAAUGCGGAAUAUACCAUCUGUGACGUAUAUAUAAAUAAAUUCGUUGUAUAAAAUGAA